rnacentral:lncRNA from 1 species
AGAGGUGGUGUGAAUGCCUCCCUCCCGGAGUUGCCAUGAGGAUUUCAUGAAGCGAGUCAGAGGAAGCAGCUGGCUUUUUUCAUGGCAGCCACAGAAGAGACAAGGAUUAAGUGGUGGAGCUGGAAAGCCCGAAUUUUAGAAAAGUCCAAGGGAGUCGGGUGUGUUGGCACACCCCUGUCAUCCUAGCGCUCUGGGAGGCUGAGGCAGGAGGACAGAAGUUCAAGCCCAGCCUCAAUGACUUAGGACAGCCACAGGCGGAUCGCAGGUGACUUGCUGGUCCUUAAAGCAGUGCUUCCCAAAGCACUCAAGUCCACACUGCUGGGCCUGCAGACUUCUCCAGGCCCCAAGAGGUGCUGGUUCAAGCCCCAACCCCUCUGAGGCCUCUCUGCGCCGGCUCCCUCUGCCUGGCCUGGUGCCUGGGCCCAGGGCCCCCCCACCCCCAUCCACGCUGUUUGCAUUCCUGGGCCCUGCGUCACCACGGACAGUGGGCGUGUCUGCAGGGCCCGCCACCCCUAGCUGCUGGCGUCCUGGGCUGGGCUGGGUGGCCACGCCAGCUCACUCCGAAGGAGGCCCGUGACUCACACUUCCUCCCGGAUUCCGGGAAAUGCCCUCCCCUGCCCUGCUCCGCUUUCUUCUGCUUUAAUGAGAUGUUCUCUGCGAAUUCCAUGGCAACCCCAGGACAGGGGGGCUGGGAGGGGGAGGCCAAGCACAUGCCCAGGAGGGGCCCAAGGGCUCCCAUGGCACUUGUGUGCACACGCACUCCCACCCUCUUGGCAGCCC